UGUACUGAGUGGCCGGGAGCGGCUGUAAGAACUAGGAAGCAAGCGUUGUCCGGAAUGACUGGGCGUAAAGAACUCGUAGGCGGGAUCGGAAGUCUUAGAGUAAAACGCACCGCUCAACCGUGGGGCCUGCGGAGAUACUGCUAUUCUUGAGGAUGUCAGAGGAAAGUAGAAGUCCCGGUGGAGCGGUGAAAUGCGUAGAUAUCGGGAGGAAGACCAGUGGCGAAGGCGACUUUCUGAGACAUUCCUGACGCUGAGGAGCGAAAGCGUGGGGAGCAAACGGAAUUAGAUACCCGUGUAGUC
rnacentral:rRNA from 1 species